UUGUUGUAGCAAUGUAUGUACUGAAAUUGGAAUGAAAUAGAGAAUAUUAGCACGGCCCCUGCCUAGGGAGUACAGGCAAAUUCAUAAAGCACUCAAUGUCCCC